AGACCGAUAGCGAACAAGUAGAGUGAUCGAAAGGUUAAAAGCACCUUGAAAAGGGAGUUAAACAGCACGUGAAAUUGUUGAAAGGGAAGCGCUUGCGGCCAGACUCGGGGGGCGGGGUUCAGCGGGCGUUCGUCGCCCGUGCACUGCCCGCUCCCCGGGCCAGCAUCAGCUUCGACGGCCGGUCAAAGGCCCCCGGAAUGUGUCGUCUCUAGGGACGUCUUAUAGCCGGGGGUGCAAUGCGGCCCGUCGAGACUGAGGAACGCGCUCCGGCUCGGAUGCUGGCGUAAUGGCCGUAAGCGGCCCGUCUUGAAACACGGACCAAG
rnacentral:rRNA from 1 species